GCAGACGGGUGAGUAACACGUGGGAAUCUACCCAGCUCUACGGAAUAACUCAGGGAAACUUGAGCUAAUACCGUAUACGCCCUCCGGGGGAAAGAUUUAUCGGAGUUGGAUGAGCCCGCGCCUGAUUAGCUAGUUGGUGGGGUAAUAGCCUACCAAGGCGACGAUCAGUAGCUGGUCUGAGAGGAUGAUCAGCCACACUGGGACUGAGACACGGCCCAGACUCCUACGGGAGGCAGCAGUGGGGAAUAUUGGACAAUGGGCGCAAGCCUGAUCCAGCCAUGCCGCGUGAGUGAUGAAGGCCCUAGGGUUGUAAAGCUCUUUCACCGGGGAAGAUAAUGACGGUACCCGGAGAAGAAGCCCCGGCUAACUUCGUGCCAGCAGCCGCGGUAAUACGAAGGGGGCUAGCGUUGUUCGGAAUUACUGGGCGUAAAGCGCACGUAGGCGGAUUGUUAAGUGAGGGGUGAAAUCCCAGGGCUCAACCCUGGAACUGCCUCUCAUACUGGCAAUCUCGAGUUCGAGAGAGGUGAGUGG
rnacentral:rRNA from 1 species